GCGAAUAUGGCAGAAUGGAUAUGCAACCAUAUGUACUGUGUUUGUUGCUCAAGUAUAUGCUACUGUGGUCGAUAUGGGUUCGAAUCCCAUUAUUCGCU